CUAAUUUUCUUUCUCCAUCUUCAAUAUUCUUUCUUCUUCAUCAUUUCUAUGCUCUACUCUGUUUCUUCUUCUGCCGUGUUUUUGAGAGAUGAAAUUGGUUUUGGGUUUGAGGAAAUUAAUUGCGAAGCUGUGUAGAUGAACAAGAAGACGUAGUUUCUGUGUAUUAUAAACAAAAAUUUGGUGCUGCUGUGAUAAAGAUCGAAUAUAAACUUUUAGGGUUUUUGUGAACUGAUGAAGGUUUCAUUUGAGGUAGCGAUUGGGAUGAGUUUUAAGUAGAUGUUCUGAAGAGUGAGUUGGAUUUGAAGUUGAUUCGAGAAUUAUAGAGUUAGGGUUUCAUUAAAGAAACUCAGGGAAGAUUCAAAAGAGGAAGUUCUUGUGUUUAGGGGAUUGAAUUAAGGUUGGGUUUACUCUUAAUUGAAGUUUGUUUGGAUGUAUUGUGUUAAUUUCAGUUGUGUGAGGAAUUUAAUCAGAAAUUAGGGUUUCAUGAGAAGAACUCUAAGAUGAUUUAGAAAGUGAAUCUGAUGCUAUAGAUAGAUGAUUAGAGAUGGGUUUAAUCUAAUUUACGAGGUUGAAGAAUAACUUGAAAUUGAGAAUAAAGGUUUGGUUCUGAUUUAAUGAAGAUUGAUGGGAGUUGGCUAUGGUGAACUGAAUGAUUAAGGAGGAGAUUAUGAUGGAUUGAUUGAGUACAAUCAUUUUGAGGCUAUGGAUUGCAGUUGUAUAUGUGAAGUGGCUGCAACUUGUGAUAUUGCCGAGUUUAGGUCACAAUGGAUGUCACUGAGAUAAAUAGAACAUACUGGAGAUGGUGGUAUGCAGUGACAGUGGUGUUGCCGGGAGUUGUAGUGUUGUUUGCAGAUUGUGCAGACACGAAUGAAAUGAGUUGGAAUGGAGUGAAUUAUGGUGGAGAUUAUGGCCUGAGUUAGAAUGAUACAGGGAAUGGUUGAAGUCUUUUAGGUGAAUGAUAUAGGUGGUGGUAAUGAUGUAGCUGUUGGUGAUGCUUAAGGGAUUGUGGUAGUGAAUUGCAAGUGAGGAUUAUAGAACCGAUGAGAUGUUGCAGGGAGUUGUUUAUGGGUAUGGUUGGUGGCAUCUCUGAUGAGUUUGAGAUGAUGGAUUGGUUGUAUCUACUGGGAAUUGAAUGUGCAGAUGAAGAGUGUGGCAGAGAUGUCUGAAGUGUAAAUGGAACUGAAGUUGUAGUGUAUGGCUGAGUGGAUAGUGCCAAUGGGAUAGUGAAUGAAGUGGUAGUUGUAAAGAUAGGUUUGUGAUUGUAUGACAAGGAAUGGGUUUAAACUGAGGUUUGAGUGUUGUGUGAGUUGAGCUGACCUGAGUUUGGCUUAGAGCUGCAAUUGCAGGAAAGCCUAGUUUAUGGUUGUGAAUUAGUUAUGAAGUUUACAUAACUUAAAUGUAUGUUUGUAAUGAUUGAGAUGAAGUAGUGUUUAAUUUGAUAGAAUUGAAGGAAUGAAGAAGAAUGUUGAUUGUAGAGUUAUAAAUAGUGAUUGUUGUGAAAUCUUGGAACUGCUGAACUGCAGGUAGGCUAUAGUUGUGUUUAUAAUUGAAUUGUUGAAUUCUAUUUGAAUGAAUGAUAUGUAUAGUAAUUGUAUGAA